AUGUGCAAUAAGGUAAGAGCCGUUUUUGUGUAUGUGUGUGUGUGUAUAUAUAUAUACACACACACACACACACACACAUACACAAAAACGGCUCUUACCUUAC